AGUGAACGCUGGCGGUAGGCCUAACACAUGCAAGUCGAACGGCAGCACAGAGGAGCUUGCUCCUUGGGUGGCGAGUGGCGGACGGGUGAGGAAUACAUCGGAAUCUACUCUGUCGUGGGGGAUAACGUAGGGAAACUUACGCUAAUACCGCAUACGACCUACGGGUGAAAGCAGGGGAUCUUCGGACCUUGCGCGAUUGAAUGAGCCGAUGUCGGAUUAGCUAGUUGGCGGGGUAAAGGCCCACCAAGGCGACGAUCCGUAGCUGGUCUGAGAGGAUGAUCAGCCACACUGGAACGGAGACACGGUCCAGACUCCUACGGGAGGCAGCAGUGGGGAAUAUUGGACAAUGGGCGCAAGCCUGAUCCAGCCAUACCGCGUGGGUGAAGAAGGCCUUCGGGUUGUAAAGCCCUUUCAGUGGGGAGAAAGGGGUGUGCGUUAAUACCGUACAUCAUUGAUGUUACCCACAGAAGAAGCACCGGCUAACUCUGUGCCAGCCGCCGCAGUAA
rnacentral:rRNA from 1 species